GUGCUUGCUUCGGCAGCACAUAUACUAAAAUUGAUAGUAUACAGAGAAGAUUAGCAUGGCCCCUGCCCAAGGAUGACAAGCACAUUCAUGAAACAUUCCGGGUCUGG